rnacentral:rRNA from 1 species
AUUGAACGCUGGCGGAAUGCUUUACACAUGCAAGUCGAGCGGCAGCGCGGCCUUCGGGCUGGCGGCGAGCGGCGAACGGGAGAGUAAUGCAUCGGAACAUGCCCAGUCGUGGGGGAUAACACUUCGCAAGAAGUGAUAAUACCUCAUACGUCCUGUGGGGGACAGCGGGGGAUCGCAAGACCUCGCGCGUUUGGAGUGGGCGAUGUCAGAUCAGCUGGUUGGUGGGGUAAAGGCCUACCAAGGCGACGAUCUGUAGCUGGUCGGGGAGGAGGAUCAGCCACAAUGGGACUGAGACAAGGCCCAGACUCCUACGGGAGGAAGCAGUGGGGAAUUUUAGAGAAUGGGGGGAACAAGGAUCCAGCAAUGCCGCGUGAGUGAAGAUGGCGUUCGGGUGGUAGAGCUCUUUCGGCAGGAGCGAAGCAGUGGGCUCUCACAUAGUCCGCUAAUGACGGUACCUGAAGAAGAAGCACCGGCUAACUACGUG